rnacentral:lncRNA from 1 species
UGUUGAUGCAACGAAUACAAGACCAAGGCCUGUAGCGACAUCUCUGGGUAAAAGGGUUCAGGGGUUCGAUUAGCCUAACGCAGGUCGUGGGGUCCCUCCACGUUUGCAAAACGUAGAGAGAGGUUCACUAGUAAUGUUAUUGUUCUUUGCUAAUUCUAAGCUGAAAAGGUUCCAGCCCAGAAUGUGAUCGCGGAAGUUGUAUUUUGUGAGCGAAGAAGAGAACUUGUAAUGAACAAGUUCUUGAGGGAGAAGAGAGAGAUCAGAAGUUCAUGUGAGAUUACAACUGAUCUGGAGUGUGUUGAAUGCUGGACCUGACUUAUGUUUUAUAGGGAAAGGCAUCUCCCAAAGGAGAAGCUCUGGACUAGUGAACCAUGCUUGCAGUGGAGGACUUACCCAUUUAGGGGUUGAAGGGUUUGGACCUGCGGGUAAAAGAGUGUGCUCUCCCACAUGGUCUGGUUGCAGCUGGGCAGGAGGUUUCACACGUUAAGUGUUGAUGUGACAGGACACUGUGCUUGUCCUUUUUACUGUUCAUGACCGUUGGAACAUUUCUGAACCUUUUAACCUUUUAACCUUUUAAGCUGUUGUGUCUCUAAUCAGUUUAUUAAGGUUUGAGCUACCCCCGUCAUCAACAACUUUUGAAAGUUUCUACAUUAAGCUUUGUGGGGGUGAACUUAGUAAGUGACAUAAGUUUGAUGCCAAGAUUAUGAGUGGAGAUGUUUAAAAGAGGUGGCCAUAGUCCAAAUGUUUGCUUGUUGACCUCUUCCAGUUCAUGAAGCCUUUCUUGAGGAAUGCUGAACUUGUAUCUAUAACAGAAUCAUCUUAUAUUUAUCGCCAGCAACAGAAGUUGGAAGCUAUGAUGCGAAAUUUUAUAAAACUAUCACUUGGAAAUCGAGUUAAGUAGAAUGUUUUCAUUUAUUUAUAUUAUUGCAAUGACACUCUGUAUUGACUAUAUUGUAUUGAGUUUGGACAAGUAUGUUAAAUAG